UUAGCACAGAGCCCAACGCGGGGCUUUUACUCACGAACUGCAAGACCAUGACCUGAGCUGAAAUCAGACGCACAACCGACUGAGCCACCGCGGUGCCCUUGUGUUUGGCUAAUCUUAACUGGGCUUACUCAUACAUCUUCGGUCAUGUAGGGGAAAUAUGAUUAAACACAAAAUCUCUCAACCUGGAAAUCCUUUUCAGAAAGAUAGUAGGGAAAGGAAACAUUUUUAUCAUUGCAUUAGCAUUAACCAGAUUGUGUUGUGCAUCACAGAGAAUCUACCAAGGGAUUGCAAAGACAGAAGAAAUCUCACCCUUUUACAUAGCCAUGCAGACACAACUCAUUACACACACGUUCUCUGGAUAAACAGGUAUUAACCCUCAAGUAAGUGGAUGUGACAGCAAUAUUUGUCACAAUUCAUUCCAAGUUUGCUUGGUAAUUGGGGUGACCAACUCUUGGCUUCAUCUAGAAACACCCCCCCCCCAAGUUUCCUAUCUUAAUGACAGGAGAUGGUGUUACACUGGAAUCAUGGUACCCACUGAGAUUUGGGUCACAGGAAUGGGGACAGAGGGGUGCUGUCCUUCUUGAUGUUAACAGUUCAGAGAGAGGGCUCCCUGGUUCUUGAGAAAGACACUCUUGGACCUCAAAGCUGGCAAAAGACCUAUAUAGUUUUCACAAAGGACAUAUAUAUACAUUUCAAAGAGGGGAGAAAGCCUCUGAAAUCACAAAUUUCCUAAAGUAAAUGCUGUAAGUAAAAGGAUGGGAAGGGACUUUCUUCCUCUAUUUUCAACAGGGACAAUAAACUUCUGACCUUUUUUUUUUGUCCUUACAGUGGACUUUGGUUGUGUUUGCUCCCAUGGGUGUUGUUCAGCUGGCUGUUGGCUGAUUGAUCUAGGAGAGUUUUAGCUGGAAAGGCUUUGCUAGACUGAGCAUGUCCUUCCUGUGUCAGAGGCCAAGGCAAAGGCACAAGCAGUUUCUAGCCUCUGCUAGAGUCACAUUCCCUGAACGCUCAGUGGCUGAGUCAAGGUGCAUGAUGGAACCCAGAGGCAGAGUGUGAAGGCACUAAAAAUAUGUGGCAGAAGCUGAGAUAGAUGUAAAGGAGGCUGAAGGAUUAGGAAUAUGUUCAUCAUCAGACUAUCACAGAUGGGGCCAAAUAUGAAUUAGUUCAGGAUUUGAGUUUGAAACAUCUGUGAGGAAUUCUGGCAGAGCUAACCCCCAGGGAUGUGGAUAUUAGGGAGAUAGCUCAGGAAGGAAGUAGGUAGGGUUUUCGAUGGUGGAAGCAGAUGCCCUGAGCGUGUGUGAGGUGAGAAGAGCAGAGAAGGAUGUAACCUGGGACCAAAUUCCUCUUUCUGUCACUAGGGGUAAUGGACAUGCCACUCUCAUGGUUGGAGAGAAGAGCCCUGCCCUCUGUGCCCAAUGCAGGACCCCAUGCUCCUUCCUUCUGUUCUCUAUGGCAGGGCCACUGCUUUGCUCCCUAGGGAGCCCCCAGAAUGCAUGCUGCCCCUGGAGUUAUGCACAGGAAGACUCUGAUGGCCUUCCCGGGUUCUGGAAGGCCUCCCUGUGCUCUCCACCUUCUCUCUUGCAGGCAUGGGCUCUGUCCCCAAAGUACACGUCACCGGGCCAGAGAGGGACAGGGUUUCAGUGCACAGCCUUGGAGUGGCUCCCAAAGCCCCACGUGCAGUGGAGGUCCCUCAGUAGGGAGAGGUUCCUGGCAUUCUCAGAGACCCAUGCCCAAGAUGCUAAGGGCUGUUCAGUGUGGAGGCUGCCUGGUGGUGAGUGACAGGUCUCCAGGCCAUAUGACCUGCUCAGUGCUUAGCCUCAUCUGACCUGCCCACCAUAUUGCCAGCUGUUUUGCCUUCAAUGCAACUAGUUCUCAGUCAGCACCUGGAAGCCACAAACCAGUUUCAUAGGUAUCAUCCCAAAUAUGCCUGAGGACAUCCCGAGGAAGUACAUGCUAGAAUAAUCUCCAUUGCACAGGAAGGACACAGACCAUCCCUGAGAGGCACAAUGGCUUAUCCAGGGUCAAAAUCAGAACUGCACACCACAGAUGGGACAGGAGUUGAGUGAUGAGAUCCUCUGCUCAACUUCCGUGAAGGACAGGAAUAUGCCCCACACCACCAACAGGAUGCAGCACCGAAGCGGCUCAGGGGUAAAAAUGCCUCAACCGUGAAUAAGAAUGAGACCAGUGUGGUGUGGACCAUCCAGGCAGGCUUGCUGGAUAAGCAAGUGUAGCACCCAGUGCCUGUCUUCCUGGGAGAGACCACCGCCCCCGCCCCCAUGUCUCCAUGUUCCUGGACAUGUACAGAACUUUUCCACUACUGAAAAGGUGCUGGAUCUGUUGAUUCCAAGGUAUGGAUGCAUCCUUCCUGAAAUGGGAUGAGGAUGGCAGACCCCUGGAGGAGCAGAAAAUGGCCAUCUUCUCCAUUCUGGGCACCUGGAUGGACCACUCCCCUGAGGAUUUUUUCCAACCUGCAGAAUUUCCCUGCCUGAAGAUGCUGCUGGCAUAUGUGGGGCUUAACAUGCUGGGCUCACACCUGGAGCACCAUACCUCUGUUUUCCUCUCAUAGCUGGGACACAUGGAGCCCAAUGAGCCAGAGGUUGAGGCUAUAGCACCCGUUCCGGAGCAGGAUCCAGAACCAACUCAAGAGCUAGCCCCAGCUCCCACUGUGGUGCCUGCUGCAGCUUCAGAGCCCGAGGUGGCUGAAGCCAUCACUCCUGCUGGAGCUCAGCAAUUAGGAAAAGCAGUGACCCUCCCUGCAGUUUCAGAGCCAGUGCAGGUGGUAGUUAUAGCUCUGAUUCACUGUCAGGAGCUGGAGGAACCACCUGCACCUUUGGCAGCCCUGGAGCAUGAGCAGGCUCCAGCCCCAGCUACUGGGGUUAUGGAAGGACUAGAACAACCACUUGCUACAGCUGAACAACCAGCCUCAGCUCCCAAGCAGUGGCUCAUGUCGGCUGCAGCCCCAAAGGAUGGCUUCCCCUCCUCUGU